CCCACACACACACAAACAUGCACGCACUCUCUCUCUCCAUCUCUCUCUCUCCAUCUCUCUCUCUCUUUCUGGCAUGCGUGCCCCCGCAUCUGGACACCGGCUGUGGGGACUUCGCGGAGGAGCGUCACGCCGGGAGGACGCUGGGCUCCCCGUCACGCUGCCCAAGAAAGAUGUUUUUCUUAGUCGCUCCAACAGACAGGAAUCUACAUGCAGGGAAGAAAGCGUCACUCUCCCCCAGGAGUGAAGCACAAAGGCCGGCAUGCACACGGCAGAUGCCAAAGCAGGUCCAUCUGCUACCAGGCCGCUCUGCCACAUGGGCUUGGAGAGGCUGAGGAGAGAGGCUUUCAUACCUGGAUCUGUGCGCACACACCACUGGCAGAGGAGUGAGCGAUCCAGCUGUUUCUGAACCGAGCUUUGGACCGCCAAGGUCAAUGAGGACAAACAACCCCAGCAGCGGCACUUGAGCACUGGCAGAAGAAAGCGAGCCGCUGGUGGGAGGCGGUCGAACUGUCUAGGGGGGCAGGCAGCCACGCGUGGUGGUCACCACCACUCUGCUGGAGCUCUCCGUCUCCAAGUGAUGGCAUCAUUUCCAUAGCAACCCCCUCUAACGAUUUGUUUUCAAUUAAAUCCGCCACAAAAAGUGCUGCCCCAAGCUAGGCGACAGUGUCAAGGGCCCAUCUACAUCCAAAUGAUGGGGCCUCCCGAAGCUUGGUGCAGGUGGGCUGUCCUACGGUAACACCCACAGCCGCACCCGCCGUCCGCUUAAACCCGCCGCUCCGAGCAGGAGUCAUACGCACAUCAGUGCAGGAACCAAUGGGGUGUUAACAAUUAUCACAGAUUUAAUGGUAUGGCGGUGCACUGGGGUGCGCAGAUGAAUGAAUGAGGCUGGAGUGAGGUGAGGUGUGGUGGCACGGCGUAGCCUGUGCGCAGUCACCGAGAAUCUGACGCCUUUCGGGCCUUUCAGAACUGCCACGAGCAUCAAAGCUGCUCUCUCUGGCUGGAGAGUUAUCCACUUGAGUUCAUCUC